rnacentral:rRNA from 1 species
AUGCACAGCGCCAUCUUUGGGCUGAACCGGGGCCUCGCGGCGAUCCAGGAGGACAUGUACCGGGCGGAAGCGGCAGCGAGGUGGCUCGAGGCGGUGGUGUCGGCCCCAGUGGACCUCGCCAAGGACCUCCACAAGUUGCAUGGACGAUGGAGGCUGAUUUACAACAGCCCCUUCUCGUCACGGACGCUCGGUGGAAAUCGCCUAGGCCCGUCCACCGGCCUCCUCCUCCCCAUCACGCGGGAAUCCAAGAACCGGAUGGGGGAGUCAGGUCCACGAGAUGCAGAGCAUGGCGGCGUCCUAAUCCUCUUCUAG